rnacentral:rRNA from 1 species
UACGUAGGGGGCAAGCGUUGUCCGGAAUUACUGGGCGUAAAGCGCGUGUAGGCGGCAAGGCAUGUCGGAUGUGAAAUCCCGUGGCUCAACCACGGAAGUGCACCCGAAACUGCCCAGCUUGAGUCUCGGAGAGGAAGGCGGAAUGCUUGGUGUAGAGGUGAAAUUCGUAGAUAUCAAGCGGAACACCGGUGGCGAAGGCGGCCUUCUGGACGAUGACUGACGCUGAGACGCGAAAGCGUGGGGAGCAAACAGG